UACGAAGGGUGCAAACGUUGCUCGGAAUUACUGGGCGUAAAGCGCACGUAGGCGGCUUCUUAAGUCGGAGGUGAAAUCCUGGAGCUCAACUCCAGAACUGCCUUCGAUACUGGGAGCUCGAGUCCGGGAGAGGUGAGUGGAACUGCGAGUGUAGAGGUGAAAUUCGUAGAUAUUCGCAAGAACACCAGUGGCGAAGGCGGCUCACUGGCCCGGUACUGACGCUGAGGUGCGAAAGCGUGGGGAGCAAACAGGG
rnacentral:rRNA from 1 species